rnacentral:lncRNA from 1 species
GACAAUUGACUGAGAAAAAAGUACAUACUUGUGUGGUUUUGGAUUGAUCUUGAUGAUUAUUAUCAUGUCCAAAUUCCCCACUGCAGUGACUGUGUAGGUAGACAAGAAAGCUCAGGAAGAGUGGAAUCAGGAGCUCUGGAUAUUCUGAAAAACCCAGGAGAAACAUGUAAAGAGAAUGGGGAAGUAUAGACUAAUGAAGCGGAAAAGGCAUAGCUACAGUUAAGAAUGAUUUAAGGUGCACAUCUAAAGAGCAGACAGCUGAUGAUUCUUGCUAAAAAUAACUUAAUGAAGAUACCAAAAAUUUCAUUUUUGCAACUGUCAAGAAAUUGUGGAGGAAGCAUAGAGAUGUCCUUGGGAUGUAUACAGAGCAGGAAACUAUAUUCCAUGAUCAUAUUGUUUGUUUUAUGCCUAACUACUUGACCAUGGGGACACAGGCCUUGGAGAAUUCUGACAAAGUUUGUUGUCAUGAGCUACAAACACAAUAAUUGGAGGAAAUUUCCUCUUCUGCAACUUAGAAUAUAAUUUCAUCGAAAUGAUUAACAUGUAGAUCUUUAUGUCUUAAAAAAAUUACCUCUGCAAAGAGACCAUAAUUCUUAAAAUCAUGAAAAAAUAUAGUCACAUCCAUCCAACGUCUUUGACAUAAUUAUUGUUGAUAUCAUAUGCUUUUUUCGUCUAUUUUGCUUAAGUGUUGGCACAAGUAUUUAUAUAGAAACACAUUUAACGUUAUACUGUAGAUAUUUUGACAUUCAAUAAUUUAUUGUUUGUUAUAUCCUGAAUAAGCAAUUCCUUCGGCUGGCAGUUGAGAGAGGAUAUGCU